AUACGUUACCAAAUGAAAUAUGAUAUUGUGAGGAUGAGGAAUUAGUGGCCUUAUCAAGUAAAGAAUAUGAUGAAUAAUUUUUAUACCUUUGCUUUUUUGUUUUAUUUGAGAACUCCUUGGUUGUUCUCUUGUCAUAUGAUGCUCGUUGACUUUUUGAGAAUUUCUUGAGUGUCUUGCAAUAUUCUCCUUUAUUUUUGAGUAUUUUUGUCAUUAGUAUUCAUGUGAUAUUGAUAUUCACUCUAUUUUGUUGUUGCUGUUCUCCUUCUUUCCCCUUUUUAGGAAUUGUUUCUUUUUGUUGUCAUGCCUCGUGUGAAACUUGCUGAGAUAGUGGAUAGUGACCUGGAAGACUCUAGAAAUAGUUUGGGUACCAACUUUUCUGUGGAUGAUAUGGACGAUAUUUCUCAAGAAUAUGCAAUCGAAUUUUCUGAAUCUGUCCCCCAACCUUGGGUUAAACCGUCAAAUAAGAGGACUAUUUUUGUGGAUCCUCCUCUGAUUAAGAAAUCUUUUUUGGACCCUCUUUCCUUUGGCUGUCUCAAAAAGAACUCCCGGAGUACAAUCCUUGCUUGGUUGUUCCUCUUGACAGGGAUGGGGGAGUUACAAUGGAGUAUGUGGAUUACCUCAUGCGUAUGAAGAAGCAUAUUAUGCGAUAUGAGGGUACCUCCAUUCCAGAUGUCAGAUCAUUUGUUCUAGUUUUGAUCAAGGAUCCAUAUUUCAUGAUUGGCAACCUUUCUCCUUCAACCAUUGCAAACUUGGGCGUCAGGUGUUACAAACAUCCACUUUCUUCAAAGAGAAAAUCUGAUGAUUCGGUUGUUACUGCUGAAGUGGUCAAGCACAGAAAAGUGGAGAGUUCAAAUCUUAGGGUUAGACUACGGUGCUGAAGCAAAUAUUUUUCAGGACCUGCUGAAAGGAGGUUAUCUCGACGCAUGUUAUAAUUGUUGGUGCAGUAGCAGACAUAGACUGAAAAAUAGCAGUGGUGGCAGGAAUUUGAAUGGAUUAAUUAUGGUAUGGAAUCCCGUAAUAUGAAAGCAUCAAGAAGUUAUUACUUAUUAAUGUGACACAUGUUUUUGUUGUUAUUGGGUAUGAGCUAUUUGAUUUUUGAUGGAAUUAGGUUGGAAAUAGAAAGUUUGGUCAGAAAAUAA